AUGCACGCUGGCGGCGUGCCUAAUCCCUGCAAGUCGCGCGAACGGACGAGAAGCUUGCUUUUCUGAUGUUAGCGGCGGACGGGUGAGUAACACGUGGAUAACCUACCUAUAAGACUGGGAUAACUUCGGGAAACCGGAGCUAAUACCGGAUAAUAUUUUGAACCGCAUGGUUCAAAAGUGAAAGACGGUCUUGCUGUCACUUAUAGAUGGAUCCGCGCUGCAUUAGCUAGUUGGUAAGGUAACGGCUUACCAAGGCAACGAUGCAUAGCCGACCUGAGAGGGUGAUCGGCCACACUGGAACUGAGACACGGUCCAGACUCCUACGGGAGGCAGCAGUAGGGAAUCUUCCGCAAUGGGCGAAAGCCUGACGGAGCAACGCCGCGUGAGUGAUGAAGGUCUUCGGAUCGUAAAACUCUGUUAUUAGGGAAGAACAUAUGUGUAAGUAACUGUGCACAUCUUGACGGUACCUAAUCAGAAAGCCACGGCUAACUACGUG
rnacentral:rRNA from 1 species